ensembl:lncRNA LINC01035 long intergenic non-protein coding RNA 1035
CUUCAGCUUUGGGACUCCAGGACUCUUUGGGACUCUUCAACCACAGACUGAAGGCUGCACUGUCGGCUUCCCUAUUUUUGAGGUUUUGGGACUCAAACUGGCUUUCUUGCUCCUCAGCUUGCAGACGGCCUAUUGUGGGACUUCACCUUGUGAUCAUGACAAAGCCAUCUUUGGUGAAGAUAAAUAAGAAACACCUGUUCUUUAUACUAUGUCAGCCAGUAUGAUGUUGGUGUGGGGAUAAGAAAAGCAGACAUUGUUAAUGAAACUAUUACAAGCUUUUUACGUAAAUGUCUUCCAAGGUAGAUGUGCAGCUGACUUCAAUGUGUAAUUAACAAAUAACCGGGGUGACAUCGAUAGAAAGCCAAAAGUAUAUACUUCAUUGAUAAAACUAUUGAUUAACCAAGAGUAUCAACUGAUAUUCUCGAUUUUCAGGAGUAAAUAAAUGACAUCUCAAUAUAGACAAGAAUUGCCCCCCUGGGGUCCUCUUGGCUUCUCUCUCCUGUCGUGGAACCAUGCCUCACAAAGCAAGGGCUGUUGGCCCAGAGUACUCUCUGCUUACUGCAUGAAAGAAGAACCUCUGAUUCAUGCAUGAGGCUGGAUGAAUGAAAGGAGCCCAUAGCUCUCCAUCAUACUCCCCUGAAACAUAGCCUCAGCAACAAGCUUCUAAGGGCAGAACGAGAAAUGAUGAAGCCCCGCUCCUCCUGGGAAGCAGAAAACUACAGCUGAAAGAUGGGGAGGAGUUUUGGAAUUUUCACCACUUACCAGUUAUUUUGGAGAGCUGAUCAGUAGAACGCCUCAUGCUGUCAUCAUAGAAGUUGAUCAAAGUAUUGUUUUCUUUCAGUCCACUAAUUAUAUUUUGUCCUCAAAUUAUAUUCUACCAAAAUUCUGUUUCACCAUAGUCCAAGUAUUUUAAAAAGUUUUCUUGCCCUGUUCUUAUUAUGCAAAACGUAAGAACUAUCCUUUUCCACCAUCUCUUUGAAAAAUCAAAUAUAAAACUGAAACACAAUUCUGUUCCUUUCAUGGUAAUCUUUUCUAUAGUACUCUAUUUUCUGCUCAUUGCUGACAGUAAUGACCACAUAUUACAUUUCAAAUAUGUAUCUAGUUUUCCUAAUCCCUUAUCAAAUAUAUAUUUAUGAAUUGCAGUGGCAGUAUAAACACUUCCAUCUAUAUCUUCAUAUGUAGAAAGCACAGUUUCUUGCACAGGAGAGACGCAAUAAGUAUAGUGUCUAUUAUGACCACAUUUAUAAGUCAAAAAGGAGUUUGAAAUGUUUCUACUUAAAAAGUCCUCCUUUUUCAAAAAUUCUGUGAGAC